AACGCAUAUAGCCGGACAGGUGCCCCUUAAAGAAGGGGAGAAUAGGGAAGUCCGUACGGGAAAUCUGAUUUCCCCAAACGGCGCGGUCCCGCCACUGUAUUCGGGGAGCCGGUCCCGGUCACUGGGUGCUGUACCCGGGAAGGCCGGGCACAGGGCGAUGAUCCGUCAGCCAGGAGACCUGCCUGCCCGGUGUGCUUGCC
rnacentral:ncRNA from 2 species